rnacentral:rRNA from 1 species
UGGCGGACGGGUGAGUAACGCGUGGGUAACCUGCCCUGUACAGGGGGAUAACAAUCAGAAAUGACUGCUAAUACCGCAUAAGACCACAGCACCGCAUGGUGCAGGGGUAAAAACUACCGGUGGUACAGGAUGGACCCGCGUCUGAUUAGCUGGUUGGUGAGGUAACGGCUCACCAAGGCGACGAUCAGUAGCCGGCUUGAGAGAGUGAACGGCCACAUUGGGACUGAGACACGGCCCAAACUCCUACGGGAGGCAGCAUG